AGUGAACGCUGGCGGUAGGCCUAACACAUGCAAGUCGAACGGCAGCACAGUAAGAGCUUGCUCUUACGGGUGGCGAGUGGCGGACGGGUGAGGAAUACAUCGGAAUCUACUUUUUCGUGGGGGAUAACGUAGGGAAACUUACGCUAAUACCGCAUACGACCUACGGGUGAAAGCAGGGGAUCUUCGGACCUUGCGCGAUUGAAUGAGCCGAUGUCGGAUUAGCUAGUUGGCGGGGUAAAGGCCCACCAAGGCGGCGAUCCGUAGCUGGUCUGAGAGGAUGAUCGACCACACUGGAACUGAGACACGGUCCAGACUCCUACGGGAGGCAGCAGUGGGGAAUAUUGGACAAUGGGCGCAAGCCUGAUCCAGCCAUACCGCGUGGGUGAAGAAGGCCUUCGGGUUGUAAAGCCCUUUUGUUGGGAAAGAAAAGCAGCAGGUUAAUACCCCGCUGUUCUGACGGUACCCAAAGAAUAAGCACCGGCUAACUUCGUG
rnacentral:rRNA from 1 species